rnacentral:rRNA from 1 species
AAUAGACCUCGGAUCAGGUUGAAUACCGCCGAACUUAG